rnacentral:rRNA from 1 species
CUUAGUAACGGCGAGUGAAGCGGCAAUAGCUCAAAUUUGAAAGCUGGCCCCUUCGGGGUCCGCGUUGUAAUUUGUAGAGGAUGAUUCGGCGAGGGCUCCCGUCUAAGUCCCCUGGAACGGGGCGUCAUAGAGGGUGAGAAUCCCGUAUGUGAUGGGUUGCCUUAGCCAUGUGAAUCUCCUUCGACGAGUCGAGUUGUUUGGGAAUGCAGCUCUAAAUGGGAGGUAAAUUUCUUCUAAAGCUAAAUACCGGCCAGAGACCGAUAGCGCACAAGUAGAGUGAUCGAAAGAUGAAAAGCACUUUGGAAAGAGAGUUAAAAAGUACGUGAAAUUGUUGAAAGGGAAGCGCUUGCAGCCAGACUUGUCCGCAGUUGCUCAGCCGGUCUCCUGACCGGCGUACUCUUCUGCGGCCAGGCCAGCAUCAGUUCGGGCGGUCGGAUAAAGGCCCCGGGAAUGUAGCUCCUCUCGGGGAGUGUUAUAGCCCGGGGUGGAAUGCGGCCAGCCUGGACUGAGGAUCUCGCUUCGGCUAGGAUGCUGGCGUAAUGGCUGUAAGCGGCCCGUCUUGAAACACGGACC